rnacentral:lncRNA from 1 species
ACCCAGAGUACAACUAGAGGUUAAAAUAAUCUGAAAGUGUUAUAAUAAGUAUGUUCAGUGUUGCGGGCACUAACAGAUGUUUAUAGCUCAAACUGGCUAAUGUCUGUCAUAUUCACCCCCAAUUCCUAUGUCACCAGACAGCUAAUUCUAAUUGGCUACAUAGUGAUUUCAGAAUUAUCAGGAGGAGAGGACUGAUCUGAUCAAAGCAGUGGCAACAAGCCAGCAGUUCAAAGAUAUUAUUUUAUUUUAUUUUUUGGUGGGGGAGCACCACCAUGAGAGGUUGACAUUGCCUCUACUGUUAUCUCAAGACAUCUUGAGAGUGCAAACACUUAAUAAAGCUUCUACUCCCAAACAACUGUCAGAUGGGACCAAAUUUCAUAAGGUGAAAGGACAUGUCAAACAUGUCCAUUUGGAUCAGUUUUCAGGGAUAUAUUAGACGGGACUGGUAUGAUAUCCUUAUACCUACCGAUCCAUGUACAUAACACAUGAAUGUGUGAGCCAUUUUGCCUUGGUGCUGUCUGUCCAUUCUGCUGGUGGUUAUUAACCACAUGGGGAGUAUUUGACCAAGUAUGUAGCUCUUUCCCAUCCAAUCAACACCCAAGUUUCAUGCCUGUGACCUUCUUUCACUGUAUGCAUCAUCAAGUUAAAUUAUAUGAUAGUCUGUGUUUUAUUUUAAAUGGUUAACAAUAAGAAUCUGUAUAUCUGUCAGUCUCUCUCACUCUCUUUCUCAGUCUCUCUUUGUUUGUAUUUCUCAGAACUCCACCAAGAUUUUUAUCCUAUUCCAAUUCAAUACUAGGUUUUGGAUUUUUCCCUAUUUCAGCAUAGACAUAUGUGCACAUAUGUGUUUUUAUGUGGACUUUUACUAAUGUUCUUAUAUUUAUGUAUUUUCUCCAUCCACUAAUACAUCUGCAUGCAUUUUAAAAUACACACAUUUUAGUAAUAUACUUUUAAAUAUGUGCAUGAAUUUCUCUGCCAAAAUGCAUUGCAAAUCUGAGACAAGAUGUCUCAUGUUUGAGGCAAGAUGUGUUUCAUCCUAUUGAUGCUUGUGGUUUAUAUGAAAUGGAUAUCUGCUUAGGGAAAUACCAACCCAAGUAAAUUCUUUUCAGUACCAUUGACCAAGCAUUAUCAUUGUUAAUUGCUUCUGGACACCUGAAUGUGCUUUUUGAGUGUUCUUAAUUAAUAAUCUGUGUUUCGAAGCAGUUCUGAACUUCUCCUGGGUUGAUAUAAAUUCAGUUUUAAUAUUCUUAUGGGAGGAAUGAACUCUUUGUAGUACCUAAUGUGCAAAUCAAACAGCAAAGAUCUCACUUGAUAUGUGAUGUUUUUAAAACAAUAUAGCAGCACUGCAAUAAAAAAGACAUAGAACUGCUACUGUAUUUAGAA